rnacentral:rRNA from 1 species
CCUACGGGAGGCUGCAGUGGGGAAUAUUGCGCAAUGGGCGAAAGCCUGACGCAGCGACGCCGCGUGAGGGAUGAAGGUUUUCGGAUCGUAAACCUCUGUCAGCAGGGAAGAACGGUCACUGUGCUAAUCAGCAGUGAAUUGACGGUACCUGCAAAGGAAGCACCGGCUAACUCCGUGCCAGCAGCCGCGGUAAUACGGAGGGUGCGUGCGUUAAUCGGAUUUACUGGGUGUAAAGCGCUCGUAGGCGGUAUGUCAAGUCAAGGGUGAAAUCCCGGCGCUCAACGUGGGAACUGCCUUUGAAACUGGCAAACUGGAGUGUAGGAGAGGGUAGUGGAAGUCCAGGUGUAGGAGUGAAA